UUGGACUCGGACGGAAGUGAUGAGAGUGAAAAUACCCACUGUGGCAGACUUGAAGAAAACGCAUCAGUCCACCUCUACUGGAGUCUGAAUCCUGCAGUUUUACCUGCAGCCGGGGAAGGGAAAUGGCACUUAUCUAUGGAUCCAAAGCAGAAGAUCUAAUCGCAGCUGUUUACCACAUACGCUUUGUGUUCAUGCAUCACAGGUGUUCACAAUGCACCUCUUGAUGUCUGUGACUCCGUGAAGAUUAUUUCCACCAGAUGCUGUUACGGCCGUGUUUGAAGUGGAGAUGAAUGAAGUUCCUCUCGUUAAUAAGGCGGUUGUAAUGCAAUAAAGCAGAUCC